AUUGAACGCUGGCGGCAUGCCUUACACAUGCAAGUCGAACGGUAACGGGCCUUCGGGUGCCGACGAGUGGCGAACGGGUGAGUAAUACAUCGGAACGUGCCCGAUCGUGGGGGAUAACGAGGCGAAAGCUUUGCUAAUACCGCAUACGAUCUACGGAUAAAAGCAGGGGACCGCAAGGCCUUGCGCGGACGGAGCGGCCGAUGGCAGAUUAGGUAGUUGGUGGGAUAAAAGCUUACCAAGCCGACGAUCUGUAGCUGGUCUGAGAGGAUGAUCAGCCACACUGGGACUGAGACACGGCCCAGACUCCUAUGGGAGGCAGCAGUGGGGAAUUUUGGACAAUGGGCGCAAGCCUGAUCCAGCCAUGCCGCGUGCAGGAUGAAGGCCUUCGGGUUGUAAACUGCUUUUGUACGGAACGAAAAGCCUUCUUUUAAUACAGGGGGGUCAGGACGGUACCGUAAGAAUAAGCACCGGCUAACUACGU
rnacentral:rRNA from 1 species